AGCGGCGGACGGGUGAGUAACGCGUGGGUAACCUGCCUCAUACAGGGGGAUAACAGUUGGAAACGGCUGCUAAUACCGCAUAAGCGCACAGUACCGCAUGGUACCGUGUGAAAAACUCCGGUGGUAUGAGAUGGACCCGCGUCUGAUUAGCUAGUUGGUGGGGUAACGGCCUACCAAGGCGACGAUCAGUAGCCGACCUGAGAGGGUGCCGGCCACAUUGGGACUGAGACACGGCCCAA
rnacentral:rRNA from 1 species